UACGUAGGGGGCAAGCGUUAUCCGGAAUUACUGGGUGUAAAGGGAGCGUAGGCGGCAUGGUAAGCCAGAUGUGAAAGCCCGAAGCUUAACUUCGAGGAUUGCAUUUGGAACUAUCAAGCUAGAGUACAGGAGAGGAAAGCGGAAUUCCUAGUGUAGCGGUGAAAUGCGUAGAUAUUAGGAAGAACACCGGUGGCGAAGGCGGCUUUCUGGACUGAAACUGACGCUGAGGCUCGAAAGCGUGGGGAGCAAACAGG
rnacentral:rRNA from 1 species